CGGGCGGGGAGGGCCCUGGCCUGCCCCGGCUGCUCCCAAUCGAGGGAGCUGAUGAGUGAAGCGGUUCCUCCAAGACCCGUGGGGUCGCCCCGGGGCACGCAGGCCUUGGGCCGUGUGAAGGAUGCGGUAACCCACGGCAGGUCUCACGGGGAACCCCCUCGGAGAAACUCUCCAACUGUGGGGAGGGUUUUUUUUUAGGAGGCCAGAAUGAAUUACUGUAAUGCUCUUCCAUGCCCAGGAUUGACCUGGGAGAGGCGUAUCUUGGCUCAAGUCCACCUGGGUAAGGAAGGACCUGAUGGGAAACCCUGCAGACGAGCUGCAGGCAGAGCUUAAUUCAUUAGGAUUUAAAUUUGGUCUUAAAGAUAGGCGUAUGCUUGGCUGCCCUGCUGAGCUGGUAUCUCUUGCAGCUGCCAGGCUGUUAACUCUGCCUGCGGCAGUGUUUAAAAAUCAUCACAUAUUUGGCUAUGAAUUUGGGUAUUUUCUGACAGGGUUUGGAAAGACAUACUUCACUCAAAGAUGGGGUAAACUAAACACUGUGUUUAGUUCAGGGGCAGGUAUUGCUAGUCUUAGUAGAGUUUGGGUUACCAAACAUCCCACAGACAACACCAGGGGAAAGGCGCUCUGCGAGCCACAAAGCACAGAAAAUAAUAUUCAAUGGAUUAAACACUCAGUACCUGCACACUUACUCUCCAGAUGGGAGCCGUGGCUUCUCAGCAAGUUCCAUGCCACCUGAAAAAACAGCAUUUCUUGUGGGAAUUCCAGGGAAAGGAAGUAUUAAAGGUCUGUGGAGGCAGGAACUGCAGCCUUCAGCACUGAGCUGCCUCUGCUGUUCCGGAAUGGUGUGCAGUGAUGCCUGCUGUGAUGCAGUUACAGGGUGAGUAGGCCACAGGGAUCAGAAGGAGUAUGCCAUAUCUUUGUUUCUUUAUGCUUGCUCACUUGGGAUC
rnacentral:lncRNA from 1 species